UGAGACUUCAGACAGCAGACGGACUUCUGAGGAGGAACAUCAGCACCACACGAGAGUAACCAGCACAACACUGGGCACGAGUUUGUCCAUCUUUUAUUCUCCAGGAGUUCAACUGUAGUCCACGGCACGUAUAUUUUCUGGAAUUAGACUUUGAGAAAACUCAGGCUUUAGAGGACGACGAGUGGAUGUCUCGUCUGCAGCGGUAGAGGACGAUGAGUGUACGUCUCGUCUGCGGCGGUAGAGGACGAUGAGUGUACGUCUCGUCUGCAGCGGUAGAGGACGAUGAGUGUACGUCUCGUCUGCAGCGGUAGAGGACGAUGAGUGU